rnacentral:rRNA from 1 species
UGAGGAAUAUUGGUCAAUGGGCGCGAGCCUGAACCAGCCAAGUCGCGUGAGGGAAGACGGCCCUACGGGUUGUAAACCUCUUUUGCCGGGGGGCAAACCGCGCCACGCGUGGCGCGGCGGAGAGUACCCGGAGAAAAAGCAUCGGCUAACUCCGUGCCAGCAGCCGCGGUAAUACGGAGGAUGCGAGCGUUAUCCGGAUUUAUUGGGUUUAAAGGGUGCGUAGGCGGGCGGUCAAGUCGGCGGUCAAAAAUCGGGGCUCAACCCCGUGGAGCCGUUGAAACUGGCCGUCUUGAGUGGGCGAGAAGUACGCGGAAUGCGUGGUGUAGCGGUGAAAUGCAUAGAUAUCACGCAGAACUCCGAUUGCGAAGGCAGCGUACCGGCGCCCUACUGACGCUGAAGCACGAAAGCGUGGGUAUCGAACAGG